rnacentral:rRNA from 1 species
AUCAACUUUCGAUGGUAGGAUAGAGGCCUACCAUGGUGGUAACGGGUAACGGGGUGUUAGGGCACGACACCGGAGAGGGAGCCUGAGAAACGGCUACCACAUCCAAGGAUGGCAGCAGGCGCGCAAAUUACCCAAUCCCGACACGGGGAGGUAGUGACAAUAAAUAACAAUACGGGGUUCUUUCGGAUCUCGUAAUUGGAAUGAGUACAAUUUAAAUCUCUUAACGAGGAACAAUUGGAGGGCAAGUCUGGUGCCAGCAGCCGCGGUAAUUCCAGCUCCAAUAGCGUAUAUUAAAGUUGUUGCAGUUAAAAAGCUCGUAGUUGAAUUUCGGGACCAAUUUGUUGGUCGUGCCUCGGUACGUACUGGUAUUAUUGGUUUCUACCUUCUGAAGAACCUUGAUGUCAUUAAUUUGGUGUCUUGGGGAAUCAGGACUGUUACUUUGAAAAAAUUAGAGUGUUUAAAGCAAGCAUACGCUUGAAUACAUUAGCAUGGAAUAAUGAAAUAGGACGUUUGAUUCUAUUUUGUUGGUUUCUAGGAUCGACGUAAUGAUUAAUAGGGAUAGUUGGGGGCAUUAGUAUUCAAUUGUCAGAGGUGAAAUUCUUGGAUUUAUUGAAGACUAACUACUGCGAAAGCAUUUGCCAAGGAUGUUUUCAUUAAUCAAGAACGAAAGUUAGGGGAUCGAAGACGAUCAGAUACCGUCGUAGUCUUAACCAUAAACUAUGCCGACUAGGGAUCGGAUGAUGUUAAUUUUUUAAUGACUCAUUCGGCGCCUUACGGAAACCAAAGUGUUUGGGUUC